rnacentral:rRNA from 1 species
AGCAGCCGCGGUAAUUCCAGCUCCAAUAGCGUAUAUUAAAGUUGUUGCAGUUAAAAAGCUCGUAGUUGAAUUUCGGGAUCAAUUAAUCGGUCGUGCCUCUGGUACGCACUGGUUUUAUUGGUUUCUCCCUUCUGACGAACCAGGAUGUCAUUAAUUUGGUGUCUUGGAGAAUCAGGACUGUUACUUUGAAAAAAUUAGAGUGUUUAAAGCAGGCUAACGCUUGAAUACAUUAGCAUGGAAUAAUGAAAUAGGACGUUUGAUCCUAUUUUGUUGGUUUCUUAGGAUCGACGUAAUGAUUAAUAGGGAUAGUUGGGGGCAUUAGUAUUCAAUUGUCAGAGGUGAAAUUCUUGGAUUUAUUGAAGACUAACUACUGCGAAAGCAUUUGCCAAGGAUGUUUUCAUUAAUCAAGAACGAAAGUUAGGGGAUCGAAGACGAUCAGAUACCGUCGUA